rnacentral:rRNA from 1 species
CAUGCAGGCGGUUAGACAAGUCAGGUGUGAAAUCCCCGCGCUUAACGUGGGCAUUGCAUUUGAAACUAUGUAGCUAGAGUUCUGUAGAGGGGGGUAGAAUUCCAGGUGUAGCGGUGAAAUGCGUAGAGAUCUGGAGGAAUACCGAUUGCGAAGGCAGCCCCCUGGACAGUGACUGACGCUCAGGUGCGAAAGCGUGGGGAGCAAACAGGAUUAGAUACCCUCGUA